rnacentral:tRNA from 1 species
GCCUGGGUGGCUCAGUUGGUUGAGCGUCUGACUUCAGCUCAGGUCAUGAUCUCGCAGUUUGUGAGUUCAAGCCCCACGUCGGGCU